UCCUAUUAAGAAAACCAAUGAAAAUAGAAAUGAGAAAGGGAAGGGUUUCCGGUGUUAGGACUAAUAAGAAAAUGAAGGGUUAGUAACGUAUUGGGUUAUAUAUGUAUGAGAGUUUGGGAUCGAAUUUAGGAUAGGGGAACAAUUCUAAAGGAGGAAGACGACUGGGUUAGAGCGAUUUGGAGAUUUUAUCGAAGGGUGAAGCAAGUGAGAAGUCGUUAGUCUAAGCAUGCAUUACUCUUUGUCUCAAUUCCAUGUAUUUUGAUGUUUUUCUUUAAGAACAUAAAUAUGGGAGACUUAGACACAUGAAAUACUAUCCCUAAAGUUUAUAUUCUACAUUUGAAAGGAUUUUAUGUUGGAUGGUGAUUGUCUUUGAAAGCUAUAUUUAAACUGCAAGUUGAAAAAA